rnacentral:rRNA from 1 species
CGAGACGGCGUGAGUGAUACACGUGGAUAAUCUGCCCUAAAGACAGGGAUAACCUUGGGAAACCAGGGCUAAUACCGGAUAAUGUCUGUUUUCAUAUGAUUACAGACCAAAUGCUCCGGCGCUUUAGGAUGAGUCCGCGUAUGAUUAGCUUGUUGGUGGGGUAAUGGCCUACCAAGGCGACGAUCAUUAGCCGGCCUGAGAGGGUGAUCGGCCACACUGGGACUGAGACACGGCCCAGACUCCUACGGGAGGCAGCAGUGGGGAAUUUUGCGCAAUGAGCGAAAGCUUGACGCAGCGACGCCGCGUGGAGGAUGAAUGCCUUCGGGUUGUAAACUCCUUUUAGCAGGGAAGAAGCCUUCGGGUGACGGUACCUGCAGAAUAAGCCCCGGCUAACUACGUGCCAGCAGCCGCGGUAAUACGUAGGGGGCAAGCGUUGUCCGGAUUUAUUGGGCGUAAAGCGUCCGUAGGCGGUUUAUCAGGUCAAGUGUGAAAUCUCACGGCUCAACCGUGGAACUGCACUUGAAACCGGUAGACUAGAGUCUAGUAGAGGGAGACGGAAUUCCAGGUGUAGCGGUGAAAUGCGUAGAUAUCUGGAAGAACACCGGUAGCGAAGGCGGUCUCCUGGGCUAUGACUGACGCUGAGGGACGAAAGCUAGGGGAGCAAACAGGAUUAGAUACCCUGGUAGUCCUAGCUGUAAACGAUGGACACUAGGUAUCGGGGAUAUCGACAUCUUCGGUGCCGCAGUUAACGCA